rnacentral:rRNA from 1 species
UACCAGCACCCCGAGUGGUCGGGACGUUUAUUGGCCUAAAGCAUCCGUAGCCGGUUCUACAAGUCUUCCGUUAAAUCCACCUGCUUAACAGAUGGGCUGCGGAAGAUACUACGGAGCUAGGAGGCGGGAGAGGCAAGCGGUACUCGAUGGGUAGGGGUAAAAUCCGUUGAUCCAUUGAAGACCACCAGUGGCGAAGGCGGCUUGCCAGAACGCGCUCGACGGUGAGGGAUGAAAGCUGGGGGAGCAAACCGG